rnacentral:lncRNA from 1 species
AACAAGUUCUAUAACAUGUCGAAGCGUCUCCACAUUUGCAUUUAAUUCCACUUUCAAGCUGCGGUAUAAUUCCAUAUAUUUAAGCUUCCUGCUUUUCCCCCAUUUAAUUAGCAAUCAAUUAUCAAGUUUCGGCCAUUAAACAGGAAGGAAGAUGACCCAGAAGUGUAUGGUUUUCGCCACACAAAGCAGUUGGUCAGCAAGGAAUUGAGCCACAGAUCCACAAUUGCAUUCACAGUCGGUGGUUGACCCAAUAACCGAGCCACCUUGACCUUGAGACCAGUCAGAGCAGGAGCAGUGGCAGUGCCACAAGAGCCGCACAGUG